rnacentral:rRNA from 1 species
UCCGUAGGUGGAUAAUUAAGUCAGAGGUGAAAUCCUGCAGCUCAACUGUAGAAUUGCCUUUGAAACUGGUUAUCUUGAGUUAUUAUGAAGUAGUUAGAAUAUGUAGUGUAGCGGUGAAAUGCAUAGAUAUUACAUAGAAUACCAAUUGCGAAGGCAGAUUACUAAUAAUAUACUGACACUGAUGGACGAAAGCGUGGGGAGCGAACAGGAUUAGAUACCCUGGUGGUCC